CUCUGGGAUCACACCACCUGGGUCCAUUUUGAGCUCUGCCUGUUAGGUCGGGGUAGGUUCAACCCCUGUAGCACAAACACCAGAUGCAUCCUGGGAAAUACUGUUCUCUUUAAAACUGCAGGAGUGGCCCCCGUUGAGAUGGAGGUUGAACAAGCAUUUCCCUAGAGUCCUGUGGUCCAUAGCAUUGUCUGCUAAGAUGCUGGGCUGUCCUGGAGCUGCGGCUGGAGUCAGGUUCAAAUGCAGCACCCGGCAGCACACUACACAGGUGAGGACACCAUGUUCCUCUACUGUUGUGGAUGCAGCCCUCACCAGACGACCGAACCUG
rnacentral:lncRNA from 10 species